CCAACGACUGCCAGAUCAACUUGGAGCUCUAUGCUUCCUACCACUACCUGUCCACAUCUUACUACUUUGACCUCGAUGAUGUGGCUUUGAAGAACAUUCUUGGCUAAGUUC